AUAAAUGCGAUGACGGAGAGAAGUAGCGCAGGAUUUCGUUCCCAGAGAGUGUGGGCAGGGUGAGAGCCGCAUAUCAGAGUCUGUGUGAAUAACACUCCCGAGCAGCAAACCCAAAGGGUGCCGGAUCAAGUGGCAAGUUCCGAAGAGGGCUGUGUGACUGAAAGGGGCAGCGUGUGUUUUAGUGACAUUGCGUGUAAAUGGCUCAGAGAUCAAACGGUAUUCGAGUAGGGGAGACGUAUUCCGCACGUUACAGCGGCUCAAAAGUGAUCGCUUUUGCGGUAAUUCAGGUGGCACCACGGGUAUUAUGCCCCGUCCUGUAG
rnacentral:ncRNA from 1 species